rnacentral:rRNA from 1 species
UAGCGGGAAGGCUUAACACAUGCAAGUCGAGGGGCAUCACGAGGUANCAAUACUUUGGUGGCGACCGGCGCACGGGUGAGUAACGCGUAUGCAACCUACCCUGUACAGGGGGAUAGCCCGGAGAAAUUCGGAUUAAUACCCCAUAAAGAUAUCGAGAGGCAUCUUUUGAUAUUUAAAGUUUCGACGGUACGGGAUGGGCAUGCGUAACAUUAGCUAGUUGGUAGGGUAACGGCCUACCAAGGCGACGAUGUUUAGGGGUCCUGAGAGGGUGAUCCCCCACACUGGUACUGAGACACGGACCAGACUCCUACGGGAGGCAGCAGUGAGGAAUAUUGGUCAAUGGGCGUAAGCCUGAACCAGCCAUCCCGCGUGAAGGAAGACGGCGCUAUGCGUUGUAAACUUCUUUUCCAGAGGAAUAAAAUUUUGUACGAGUACGGAACUGAAGGUACUCUGGGAAUAAGCAUCGGCUAACUCCGUGCCAGCAGCCGCGGUAAUACGGAGGAUGCGAGCGUUAUCCGGAUUUAUUGGGUUUAAAGGGUGCGUAGGCGGAUUAAUAAGUCAGUGGUGAAAACCUUNCAGCUUAACUGGAGAACUGCCAUUGAUACUGUUANUCUUGAGUACGGUCAAGGUAGGCGGAAUGUGUAAUGUANCGGUGAAAUGCUNAAUAUUANCAAAACACGAUNGCNANGNAGCUUACUGGGCCAUUACUGAC